rnacentral:tRNA from 1 species
UAGACAGAUGCUUAUCGGUUUAAGCGCUUAGCUGUUAACUAAGACUUUGUAGGAUCGAGGCCUACCUGCCUAG